rnacentral:rRNA from 1 species
GACGAACGCUGGCGGCGUGCUUAACACAUGCAAGUCGAACGGAAAGGCCCUGCUUUUGUGGGGUGCUCGAGUGGCGAACGGGUGAGUAACACGUGAGUAACCUGCCCUUGACUUUGGGAUAACUUCAGGAAACUGGGGCUAAUACCGGAUAGGAGCUCCUGCUGCAUGGUGGGGGUUGGAAAGUUUCGGCGGUUGGGGAUGGACUCGCGGCUUAUCAGCUUGUUGGUGGGGUAGUGGCUUACCAAGGCUUUGACGGGUAGCCGGCCUGAGAGGGUGACCGGCCACAUUGGGACUGAGAUACGGCACAGACUACUACGGGAGGCAGGAGUGGGGAAUAUUGCACAAUGGGCGGAAGCCUGAUGCAGCAACGCAGCGUGCGGGAUGACGGCCUGCGGGUUGUAAACCGCUUUCGCCUGUGACGAAGCGUGAGUGACGGUAAUGGGUAAAGAAGCACCGGCUAACUACGUG